ensembl:lncRNA
AGACUAUAUUACAUGGAUUUAUUGUGGAGGUGUAGACUAUAUUACAUGGAUUUAUUGUGAUGGUGUAGGUAGACUAUAUUACAUGGAUUUAUUGUGGAGGUGUAGACUAUAUUACAUGGUUUUAUUGUGACGGUGUAGGUAGACUAUAUUACAUGGAUUUAUUGUGGAGGUGUAGACUAUAUUACAUGGUUUUAUUGUGACGGUGUAGGUAGACUAUAUUACAUGGAUUUAUUGUGACGGUGUAGGUAGACUAUAUUACAUGGAUUUAUUGUGACGGUGUAGGUAGACUAUAUUACAUGGAUUUAUUGUGACGGUGUAGGUAGACUAUAUUACAUGGAUUUAUUGUGAUGGUGUAGGCAGACUAUAUUCCAUGGAUUUAUUGUGGAGGUGUAGACUAUAUUACAUGGAUUUAUUGUGGAGGUGUAGACUAUAUUACAUGGAUUUAUUGUGACG